rnacentral:rRNA from 1 species
AACAAACGCUGGCGGCGUGUCUUAAGCAUGCAAGUUGAGCGGCAAGGAGGAGAGAUCCUCCCUAGAGCGGCGGACUGGUGAGUAACGCGUGGGUAAUCUAUCGUAGGCAUGGGGAUAGUCACUAGAAAUAGUGGGUAAUACCGAAUACGUUCCAUGAGGGGAGUAUUCAUGGAAGAAAGGGUGCUACGGCACUGGCCUUAGGUGAGCUCGCGUCCCAUUAGCUAGUUGGUGAGGUAAAGGCCCACCAAGGCGAUGAUGGGUAGCCGGCCUGAGAGGGUGUACGGGCCACACUGGGACUGAGAUACGGCCCAGACCUCCUACGGGAGGCAGCAGCUAAGAAUAUUCCGCAAUGGACGGAAGUCUGACGGAGCGACGCCGCGUGGAUGAAGAAGGCCGAAAGGUUGUAAAGUUCUUUUGCGUAGGGAGAAUAAGUGAGGGAGGGAUGCCUAUGAUGACAAGGACUAGCGAAUAACGCCCCGGACCAACUCGUGCCAGAC